ACGUACGCGGACUUUACCUGGCUGCGAUGACAGUAGGCGUUAAAGGACGGAGAAGGACAGAAAGACGGGAAGAAGUGGGUCAGCACGGGAUAAUUUCCACAGCGCUAUCCUCGGUUAAGUCCAUGACUGCGACGGUCCAGCAUCUGCAGAGCCGACCCUUCACGAUGACCCCUGCAAUGGCACCCGUGUGACAGGUGACAGUACAGGAAAAGGAGCCAUUCAAUGGCACCGCCGCUCUUCAAUGGCUGGGAUCUGAGAUCACGCACCUCCGAAGUGGCUGCGGCUGUCCAAAUCUCUUCCCGGACACACGGACGGUUGCCAUAGAGAUUCCAGGGACAUCUGACUCAAGGAUGACAGGAGUUGUUAAUUCUGAGACAUAGUGUUGUUAUUUAUAAAUCUAGGAGCAGGUUUAAAGCACAUUAAAUAAAAAAAAUUGACACCAUAUCUGCCAUACUUCAAAAAUGAAACAAAUUCAGAUUACAUAGGAUCACAUUUCCCACAAUGAUGUGCAGAAUUUAUGAUUCUGUCAGCACAUUUCCACAUUUUGGUUUGUGUUCCAACUUUGAUUUGACUCAAAAAUUUCAUGCAACUUUAAGUUCCUCUCUGAUCAUCUUUUGAUCUAUUUUAAAAGCAUUUUAACUUUUAUAUUAUAUUUUAUUCUUCUGUGUUGUGGAUGGGACUGCAUCAGAAUAAAAGUUGAAGUAAAAGAAAACAAAAAACUGUGCACCAGAUAGUAACUGCAAAAAAUAUUUCUAAAAUUUGAAGUUAAAAAUUUAUUUCUGUAAAACUGAAAUUAAUUUUUUUCUGAAAAUAAAAGUAAAAGAAAAAUAAUUCUAGUUACUAAAUGAUGCAAAUGAAUUACUAUCUGGUAAGCACUAGUGUUGCCCAGAAUUUAGUUUUUUUACUUUCUAUUUUUUAUUUCAGUGUCUCUUCAAGGGCUCUGUAUGGAUCUUUAUUUAAAGUUUAUUUUAAAAAUUGAUAAAAAAUAAAUAAAUAAAUAAGGACAAAGAUCUUUUCUACUGUCCGGGUGUUGUAAUAAAUUGUGGAAUAAUGUAUAUCCACCUUUGUUUCAUGCGUCUGUUGCUCUGGUUACUAACUUGUUUACACCAGCACAAUAAUUUAAAAACAUUCAGACUAUUUGACCAGAACUUUUUUUUUUAGAUUUCUACUACAACUCUUUAAGAGGCACCCUGCAGCCAAUCAGAAUUGAGUAUUCACCUCAACGAUAGUAUAAAAACCUCUGAACAGGAAAAAAGAACACAGGCCGAUGCAAAGAUCGCCUGUCCUCUCGCUGACACACAAACCCGUCAACAGAAGGUUUCCAUCUCCAUCAUCACCUCCUGGGACCCGCUGUGGCUCCGGCUCUGGCUCCACUUUGAGAUGAAACAUGGUCUCGGUUCUAAUUAACCCAGAUGUGGGUAUUAAUAAGAUAAAAGCAGGUCUAGACUGGAAAUGGGGCAGAUUGAGAGGAGAAGGUCCAACUCCAAAGUGGGACACCUUGGUCCCUCCUCUGACAGGGGAAUAAAGUCAGAUUCUAUAUAAACCUUACCCAGCGGCCCUUUUUUAAUUGGUUCCCGCUUCUCUGGAGAGUUUGGCACCACGAGAAGCUGAGAAUAUCCGUCAGGGAGGGAGGUAAAGUGUCACGUGACGACAACAAACACAGACAUCGGUUGAUACGGGAUUUGUAUUUUUGCUUUUUUGUUUUCGAUUCUGCUUUAACUUUAGCCCCAGGUGACCAUCGAUUGAUGUCUGGCUUCA